UUAAAACAUGGCCCGUGCACCAUAUUACAGAAAUAGUAAGGAAUUUCGUGCAAUCUCUUUCUAUGUCUCUCCCCCGACUAUGUUUAUACACAUGCACACAUUGAGGGGUAAAAUAACUAAUAUAGCCCUGCUGUGCAUUCAUUGUUUGGCAUCAGUGGCCAAAUGCUUCAAAAAGCUUCAUUUCUUUUAUGUUGAAUUACAUCUGGAGGGCCAAAUGCUUCAAAAAGCUUCAUUUCU
rnacentral:misc_RNA from 1 species